UGAAUUAUAAUAGUAGGGGAUAGGUGGUGGAGAGUAUAGAGGAGGUGGUGGAGAAUUUGGUGGUGGAGGCGGCGGUGAGCGCACACAGUAUGGCGGAGUAGGCGAAGGAGGUGGAGGGGAAGGUGGAGGUGGUGAGAUAGCCGGAGGAGGUGGAGAUGGCGGUGGAGGAGAUGGAGGAGGGGGAGAAGGUGGAGGAGGAGAUGGAGGAGGUGGUGGCGGUGAGUAAAUUGGCGGAGGAGGUGAAGGCGGAGGAGGCGGAGGAGGAGGAGGAGGAGAAGGUGGAGGCGGUGAGGGGGGAGGAGGUGGCGGAGAAUAAACUGGCGGUGGAGGAGGAGGAGAGUAAACAGGUGGUGGUGGGGG
rnacentral:lncRNA from 1 species